AGAGAGGUGGCCGAGUGGUCGAAGGCGCACGCCUGGAAAGUGUGUAUACUCCAAAAGAGUAUCGAGGGUUCGAAUCCCUUCCUCUCUG
rfam:Flavobacterium sp. 40-81 scnpilot_p_inoc_scaffold_63, whole genome shotgun sequence.